GCACGAGCAACCAAUCCCAACGGAUGGGCCCUUCUUUGCGACUCAGCCCAAGUUUCAAUGGAAGCAAUUACAAGAAAGAGAAUGCUAGAAGAGGGACGAAUGGAUUUCGACCUUCCGGUAAUCUUGCCAAACAUAAAGGAUCAACUCUUUAAAAGAAGCUAAGGAGACAGUGAAAGUUUUGAAAGCACUAUUUGAAACCGGUAUAAUGGAAAGAGAAUGCCCGAAGAUGGACGAAUGGAUUCUGACCGCUUGGUUAACUUGCUGAACAUAAAGGACCUAUCGACUUUUGAAGGCUGUGAGGGCACUUGUUGAACUAAUACCACUCUGUGUACAACAUGGAUACAUCCCCUAACUGGUGAUAAUCAUCUUCCAGGAAUAAAUGAGAGAUGUUCUACAGGAGACAAGGACCCAAUCUUGAAUCUUUAUCUACGUGCAGGGUUGGCUAGUACA